rnacentral:siRNA from 1 species
CGGAUGUUCUAUAACGGCUGUCA